GGAGCGAUGCAGGAGCUGAACACCCUCACACUUACCCAAAGAAUACACAGCCUUGCUUAGGACAUGAUGAGUGGGAAGCUAAAUCUGCAGCAGCCUACCACCCUUUCAACUGUUGCGUGCUCUCCCCAUUUGCAAAAUCAGGUACAAGUAACAGCAAAUCUCUUUAUGAGUGAAGCUGACAACCCUUUUCAAAACUGGUAAUGGAGAUCUCAG
rnacentral:lncRNA from 12 species